rnacentral:lncRNA from 1 species
UCAUAAUCGGACAAUUCGUUCUAAUUAACAACCUCUUGCCAAAAAAAUCUCACGUUGAUAACCAUUCCUCGUUCACCAAAAAUCUAUCCAAUUUGGUUUUGCAUUGCCCCUGAGGUUGUUGGUACCAAGUAAACUUUCGACCUUGCCUCUAAAUUCUGAAUACUCCCUUUCCGAGCUCAUUCUCACCGAAUUGGAAUCCCCCACGACACAAUUGCACACAUCUCUAUUUUGAUUCAGAACCAAGCUAAGAAACAAUUAUUUCCAAAUGUUGAAAUUCG